AUGGACCCCCAUACACUCCGGUUCCUCCGCACCCACCUGACAGCUGCUCGCGACGUGUUGUUAGCC
rnacentral:sRNA from 3 species